rnacentral:rRNA from 1 species
AUUGAACGCUGGCGGCAUGCUUUACACAUGCAAGUCGGACGAGUGGCGAACGGGUGAGUAACGCAUCGGAACGUACCGAGUAAUGGGGGAUAACUGUCCGAAAGGACAGCUAAUACCGCAUAUUAUUCGAGCGGCCGAUGUCUGAUGAGCUGGUUGGCGGGGUAAAGGCACACAAAGGCGACGAUCAGUAGCGGGUCUGAGAGGAGGAUCGGCCACACUGGGACUGAGACACGGCCCAGACGCCGACGGGAGGCAGCAGUGGGGAAUCUUGGACAAUGGGCGCAAGCCUGACCCAGCAAUGCCGCGUGAGUGAAGAAGACCUUCGGGUUGUAAAGGACUUUUGUCAGGGAAGCGGUACCUGAAGAAAAAGCACCGGCUAACUACGUGCCAGCAGCCGCGGUAAUAC